rnacentral:tRNA from 1 species
UCCCUGGUGGUUCAAAUGGUAAACAGUCUGCCUGCAAUGCAGGAGACCCAGGUUCAAUCCCUGGGUUGGGAA